rnacentral:rRNA from 1 species
CCUUGUCGGGUAAGUUCCGACCUGCACGAAUGGCGUAACGAUUUGGGCACUGUCUCAACGAGGGACUCGGUGAAGUUGUAGUGUAAGUGAAGAUGCUUACUACCCGCGACAGGACGGAAAGACCCCGUGAACCUUUACUGUAGCCUGAUAUUGAACUUUAGCAUAUCCUGUGUAGGAUAGGUGGUAGGCUGUGAAAGAGGGGCGUUAGCCUCUCCGGAGCCAUCCUUGAAAUACCACCCUUGGUGUGUUUGGGUUCUAACCUUUCGCCGUUAUCCGGCAAAGGGACAGUAUUUGGUGGGCAGUUUGACUGGGGCGGUCACCUCCCAAAGAGUAACGGAGGUGUCCCAAGGUCUCCUCAGUGUGGUUGGAAAUCACACCAAAGAGUGUAAGGGCAUAAGGAGGCUUAACUGCGAGAGAGACAUCUCGAGCAGAUGCGAAAGCAGGGCCUAGUGAUCCGGCGGUAACUAGUGGAUGUGCCGUCGCUUAACGGAUAAAAGGUACUCCGGGGAUAACAGGCUUAUCUCCCCCAAGAGUCCAUAUCGACGGGGAGGUUUGGCACCUCGAUGUCGGCUCGUCGCAUCCUGGGGCUGAAGCAGGUCCCAAGGGUUUGGCUGUUCGCCAAUUAAAGCGGUACGCGAGCUGGGUUUAGAACGUCGUGAGACAGUUCGGUCCCUAUCCGUCGUGGGCGUAGGAUACUUGAAGAGGGUCUGCCUCUAGUACGAGAGGACCGAGGUGGACGAACCUCUAGUGUACCAGUUGUCCUGCUCAGGGCACCGCUGGGUAGC